GGAGAUUUUAUUUUUUAAUUCACUAAUUUUCUUACAAAAUUGCAGAGCUUGUAUUUAGCCCAAUCUGUUCACUUUAGCUUCAAAUUCCUGGCAAAUUAAAAUGAUGAGAAUCUCUCGAGUGCUUGUCUUCCAGCUCCACGUAAAUAAAUUCUUGAAGCAUGUGUAGAUAUCCCACUGGCUAGUACUCCUUGUUGAUCCUUUGGGGUCUUCUAAACGCUGAUGUGAAGCAAUUACCUGCUAAAGAGAAAGGGAAAAAAUAUAUAAAUAAUCAUUAAUGCCAUGGCUAAAGAGAUUAAUUGAACAGUUAAUAAACUGCAUUUCAUAAAUGUAUGAUAAUAGAAAUGGCAGGGCAAUUCUCCUUUGGCAAAACAGAAAUACAUUACAGCAUGCAUUUACAUGAUGAACGGAUGAUCUGCUUGCCAAGGGAGAAUUGCCUGUCAUUCCUCAACCAUGCACACUACUGUUGCUCCCUUGUUG
rnacentral:misc_RNA from 1 species